rnacentral:rRNA from 1 species
AAAGCACUUUUUGCUGGGAAGAGGAAGGACGGUACCAGCAGAAUAAGCCUCGGCUAACUACGUGCCAGCAGCCGCGGUAAAACGUAGGAGGCGAGCGUUAUCCGGAUUUACUGGGUGUAAAGCGCGUGCAGGCGGCUUGGUAAGUUGGAUGUGAAAGCUCCCGGCUCAACUGGGAGAGGUCGUUCAAAACUGCCAGGCUGGAGUAUGGUAGGGGAAGGUGGAAUUCCGGGUGUAGUGGUGAAAUGCGUAGAGAUCCGGAGGAACACCAGUGGCGAAGGCGGCCUUCUAGACCAUGACUGACGCUCAGACGCGAAAGCUAGGGUAGCAAACGGGAUUAGAGACCCCGGUAGUCCUAGCCGUAAACGAUGUGAACUUGGCGCGUGUGGGGUCAAACCCAUGCGUGCCGCAGCCAACGCGAUAAGUUCACCACCUGGGGACUACGGCCGCAAGGUUAAAACUCAAAGGAAUUGACGGGGGCCCGCACAAGCAGCGGAGCGUGUGGUUUAAUUCGAUGCUACACGAAGAACCUUACCAGGGUUUGACAUGCACGUGGUACCGAACCGAAAGGGGAGGGACCCUUCGGGGAGCGUGCACAGGUGCUGCAUGGCUGUCGUCAGCUC